ACUAACGCUGGCGGCGUGCCUAACACAUGCAAGUCGAACGAUCUUUGAUUAUAGCAAUAUUAUUAAAGAGGAGUGGCGAACGGGUGAGUAACACGUAGAUAAUCUGCCUUCAGACGGGGACAACUCAGGGAAACUUGUGCUAAUACCCGAUGAGACCACAAGAAGGGAUUUUUGUGGCCAAAGGCGGGCAGCAAUGCUCGUGCUGAAAGAUGAGUCUGCGUCCUAUCAGCUAGUUGGUGGGGUAAAUGCCUACCAAAGGCUAAGACGGGUAGCCGGCCUGAGAGGGUGAACGGCCACACUGGGACUGAGACACGGCCCAGACUCCUACGGGAGGCAGCAGUGAGGAAUUUUCCGCAAUGGGCGCAAGCCUGACGGAGCGACGCCGCGUGAGGGAUGACAGCUUUCGGGUUGUAAACCUCUUUUAUUAAGGAAAAAGAUCUAUAUGCUAAUAUCAUGUAGAUUUGAUGGUACUUAUUGAAUAAGCCCCGGCUAACUACGUGCCAGCCGCCGC
rnacentral:rRNA from 1 species